rnacentral:lncRNA from 1 species
UCCUCUUUUAGCACCUACAAUCAUCAUAACAUACCUAUAAACCGGUCCACUUUUUUAAUUCAAUCCAUAAUAUAGCACUUAUGGACCGGUCCAUAUAAAAAUCCACACAGGAAUCAGGACAUGCCCAAAUCAACUGAGACAACCUAAUCUUAUUCUAUCCAUUCCAUAUGCUACUUGCGCCAACAGUUUGACUCACAUUACUAAUUUUGUCAAUAGUGUAUGACAAUGGAAUCUAUCUUUAGAUGGUUGAGAAGGAUUAUGGUGAACUGGUGUUAUUUGGGCAAAGAAUAGGGCAAAGACAGCACAUUUUGCUAUAGUGAAAAUAAUCUAACAAACCAAUGGCAUCUUCCACUCUUUUUUUGAGUCACAAGGGUCACAUCAAGGAUGGUGAAGGAGACAAUCACCACUUGAUGAGUAAGAGGAAC